AUCAUCUUCCUAUUCUGCAUUACUAAGGAAGCAUGUUAAGCUACUCUUCUGCGCUGUUGCCAUGAAAACUAUACUGACAUAAAAUUUGAAGACCACCAACUGUAAAAAUGUUAUUCAAAGGUAUAAUUUUACAAGAGCACAGAUUUGCAGUCAGGUUAUUGGUCAUUGUGCUGCCUUAAAAUAUUGCCAGUAAAUGUGAAGUUAAAUGAUUGCAGGUUUAAGAAAUGAAAUCAUAAAUAUAUUGGGUAUAAAAACAUGAAACUUAUGGUAAGUACUCUCUGCACACUGCUCUAACAAACCCCUAAUUUGUUAAAUGUGUGUAUUGACGCAGCCCCUACUAAUCUUUUGUAACUAAAUAAACGCUCAAACUUUUGCACGAGAUAAAGAACAGUUAAUUCACUCAACAGUUGACUCCAAGGCAAGCAAUGGAACAGUUUAGGAUAUUAGAUUGAUUUCACAAAACCUCCAUUGGAACAAUAACCUCAGUAAGCAGACAUUGCAAAGUCAUUUAACUCUAAAUAAAGAAAACCCAAAAAUGGGAAAUGAAAAUCCUCUCUGAACUUAAGUGGGCAAAAUUGCAUGCUUUCUUGAUCACAUAUAUCCCUAUAUUCAAAAUUGAAUGCUUUCUUGAAUCCUUUUUCGUUUUAAUAAAUAAAAAUCGCACGCUUUCUUGAUCACAUAUAUCCUAAUAAUUCUAAAGCAGGAAUACUUACC
rnacentral:misc_RNA from 1 species